AGCAGCAGCCGCGGUAAUACAGAGGGUGCGAGCGUUAAUCGGAUUUACUGGGCGUAAAGCGUGCGUAGGCGGCUUUUUAAGUCGGAUGUGAAAUCCCUGAGCUUAACUUAGGAAUUGCAUUCGAUACUGGGAAGCUAGAGUAUGGGAGAGGAUGGUAGAAUUCCAGGUGUAGCGGUGAAAUGCGUAGAGAUCUGGAGGAAUACCGAUGGCGAAGGCAGCCAUCUGGCCUAAUACUGACGCUGAGGUACGGAAGCAUGGGGAGCAAACAGGAUUAGAUACCCCAGUAGUCCCUGUCUCUUAUAC
rnacentral:rRNA from 1 species